rnacentral:lncRNA from 1 species
AUCAAAAAGAUCUCAGAUCAUUAACAGAAUUGACUGGUGACCCUGGGAGUAGGAGUGACUGCUGGAAGGCUGGGUGAGGCCUCAGGCCCUGCAGCUCCCGGUCCAAGCAGGUCCUCAGAGCCUGGCAGAAGUCAUGAGCUCAGGACCACAGACAUCGCAGAUGUUGGAGACCGGCUUCUUGAAGGUCACACAGCUGGCAGCAGAGACACAUCCACAGCUGGGAUCCAGUAGUUCCAAGCUUGGGCUUCUCCCACAACCUGCUGGGCCUCCUCAUUGAGGGAACACGGAAUUGCUCAGCCAAAGUUGAGAGGAGAUAAUGGGGACCAUGAUUGGGACAGUGGAAGAUUUUAUUUUUGUUUGCUUGUUUAUUUACCUAUUCCAAAAUGAAAAUGAUUAACUAUUUUAUGGGUAUGAAUGUAUUUUUGCAGUACUGGGGAUUGAACCCAGGUACCCUCUACCAAUGAGCGACACCCCCAAACCUUUUUAUUUCUUUUGAGACAGAGUCUCACUGAGUUGCUGUGUUUGACCUUGAACUUGUGAUCUUCCUGUCUCUCAGCCUCCUGAGUUGCUGGGAUUAUAGGCAUGUGCCACUGCGCCUGGCAAUUAACUAUGAAGAUUUUUUAAAAAAUUCAAAAUAUACAGUUUAAAGAAACUAAAAAUAAAGUUUAAAGAAAGUAGAAACUGCCC